rnacentral:rRNA from 1 species
AUGAACGCUGGCGGCGUGCCUAAUACAUGCAAGUCGAGCGAACGGACGAGAAGCUUGCUUCUCUGCUGUUAGCGGCGGACGGGUGAGUAACACGUGGAUAACCUACCUAUAAGACUGGGAUAACUUCGGGAAACCGGAGCUAAUACCGGAUAAUAUUUUGAACCGCAUGGUUCAAAAGUGAAAGACGGUCUUGCUGUCACUUAUAGAUGGAUCCGCGCUGCAUUAGCUAGUUGGUAAGGUAACGGCUUACCAAGGCAACGAUGCAUAGCCGACCUGAGAGGGUGAUCGGCCACACUGGAACUGAGACACGGUCCAGACUACUACGGGAGGCAGCAGUAGGGAAUCUUACGCAAUGGGCGAAAGCCUGACGGAGCAACGCCGCGUGAGUGAUGAAGGUCUUCGGAUCGUAAAACUCUGUUAUUAGGGAAGAACAUAUGUGUAAGUAACUGUGCACAUCUUGACGGUACCUAAUCAGAAAGCCACGGCUAACUACGUG